UAAGGUGUACGGGCGGGAUUGGUUGACCGGGAGCCUCCCCUCCUUGCAGCUGCUGCCCCUGGUUUGGGACCGAAGAUGAUGCCUCUCCCUGGUUCCCAAAAGUCUCUUCAAUCCAUGAAUCGCCCGUUGAGAUUGAGGGUAGGGGAGAGGAGGACGAGCUUGCUGCGCCAGAAGCUCCUGACGGCACCAUCAUCUUACCCAGCUCGGGAUCCCAAAGAAAAAUGGCUGCUAGAAGAAAAUCUCCGCAACACCACCCGAGCCGACUAAAGAGGAAGUGGAAAGAU
rnacentral:lncRNA from 1 species